GACAGAGGGUGCAAGCGUUGUUCGGAAUUACUGGGCGUAAAGGGCUCGUAGGUGGCCAACUAAGUCAGACGUGAAAUCCCUCAGCUUAACUGGGGAACUGCGUCUGAUACUGGAUGGCUUGAGUUUGGGAGAGGGAUGCGGAAUUCCAGGUGUAGCGGUGAAAUGCGUAGAUAUCUGGAGGAACACCGGUGGCGAAGGCGGCAUCCUGGACCGGCAUUGACGCUGAGGCGCGAAAGCCAGGGGAGCAAAGCGG
rnacentral:rRNA from 1 species